CUUAUCACAUUGAAACAUCAGUUCUCAUCUGAUCAUCAAAGUUAAGCAAGGUUGAGCCCGGCCCAUACCUAGAUGGGUGACUACUUGGAAAUACCAGGUGCUGUAA